rnacentral:rRNA from 1 species
UACGGGGGGAGCAAGCGUUGUUCGGAAUUACUGGGCGUAAAGCGCACGUAGGCGGCUUUGUAAGUCAGGGGUGAAAGCCCGGGGCUCAACUCCGGAAUUGCCUUUAAGACUGCAUCGCUAGAACGUCGGAGAGGUGAGUGGAAUUCCGAGUGUAGAGGUGAAAUUCGUAGAUAUUCGGAAGAACACCAGUGGCGAAGGCGACUCACUGGACGACUGUUGACGCUGAGGUGCGAAAGCGUGGGGAGCAAACAGG